rnacentral:rRNA from 1 species
CAGUUAGGAUUGGCCAUUGAUAAUUUGGGAAGUGUUUUUCGUAAAGACAAGUACGUUUAACCUUGAGGAAAAUUAGAAGUGCUUAAGGCAGGCCUUAAGCCUGGAAAUAAUGUGACAAUGGAAUUAAUAAGAAUAGGGAACCUCGAGUUUCUAUUAUGUUUGGUUCUGUAGAGCCAUUGAGAGUAAUGAUUAAAUAGGGACAAGACCGGGGGCAUUCGUAUUGCGAGUGUUAGAGGUUGAAAUUCUUGGAUCGCCGCAAGGCGAACAACUGCGAAAGCAUUUGCCAAGGAAUGUUUUCAUUAAUCAAGAAACGAAAGUUGGAGGUUCGAAGACGAUUAGAUACUGUCCUAGUUCCAACCAUAAACGAAUGCCAAACUAGCGAUUAGCUGCUGUUAUUUUUACGACACAGCUAGCAGCUUCCGGGAAACCAAAGUUUUUGGGUUCCGGGGGAAGUAUGGUUGCAAAAGCUGAAACUUAAAGGAAAUUGACGGAAGGGCACCACCAGGAGUGGAGCCUGCGGCUUAAUUUGACUCAACACGGGAAAUCUCACCCGGCCCGGACACUGUAAGGAUCGACAGAUUGAGAGCUCUUUCUUGAUUCGGUGGGUGGUGGUGCAUGGCCGUUCUUAGUUGGUGGAGCGAUUUGUCUGGUUAAUUCCGAUAACGAACGAGACUCUAGCCUGCUAAAUAGUACGUCGAUCUUUAGUCGGCGCGUACUUCUUAGAGGGACAAGUAGCGGUAAGCUACACGAAAUUGAGCAAUAACAGGUCUGUGAUGCCCUUAGAUGUUCGGGGCCGCACGCGCGCUACACUGAAGGGAUAAGCGUGUUUUUCCUGCUCCGAAAGGAGUGGGCAAUCCGCUGAAACCCCUUCGUGAUUGGGAUCGGGGCUUGAAAUUAUUCUCCGUGAACGAGGAAUUCCCAGUAAGCGCGAGUCAUAAGCUCGCGUUGAUUACGUCCCUGCCCUUUGUACACACCGCCCGUCGCUACUACCGAUUGAAUGGUUUAGUGAGAUCUUCGGAUUGGUCCGGAGGUGUCCGCAAGGUCGCCUCUAGGUGCCGAGAAGAUGAUCAAACU